AGUGAACGCUGGCGGUAGGCCUAACACAUGCAAGUCGAACGGCAGCACAGGAGAGCUUGCUCUCUGGGUGGCGAGUGGCGGACGGGUGAGGAAUACAUCGGAAUCUACUCUGUCGUGGGGGAUAACGUAGGGAAACUUACGCUAAUACCGCAUACGACCUACGGGUGAAAGCAGGGGACCUUCGGGCCUUGCGCGAUUGUAUGGGCCGAUGUCGGAUUAGCUAGUUGGCGGGGUAAAGGCCCACCAAGGCGACGAUCCGUAGCUGGUCUGAGAGGAUGAUCAGCCACACUGGAACUGAGACACGGGCCAGACUCCUACGGGAGGCAGCAGUGGGGAAUAUUGGACAAGGGGCGCAAGCCUGAUCCAGCCAUACCGCGUGGGUGAAGAAGGCCUUCGGGUUGUAAAGCCCUUUUGUUGGGAAAGAAAUCCAGCUGGCUAAUACCCGGUUGGGAUGACGGUACCCAAAGAAUAAGCACCGGCUAACUUCGUGCCAGCCGCCGCCGUAA
rnacentral:rRNA from 1 species